rnacentral:lncRNA from 1 species
UGGCGAUACAAUACGGUAAACAUCUAUCCUAUGUGGACUCGACGUAACAGGAGGUAAAGGCCCGGUCGAGCUGGAACGACUUUCGAGUGCCGAAUAUUUUGAGAGCCAAUAAUUAAUAAAUUAGAAAAAAGGAAGAACUGGAGUGGCAAUAAGCCACUGCAAUUUGUGAAAGAGGCCUUUAUCAACGAAUGCUCUCCUUGAGGCUGGUGUCUUGCAGAUUUCUCAAACAGCCAUAGACAGUUUGUGUGGCCAUGUUUGUUGAUCACGAUUUGAGUCUUGUUUCAGCAGAUAUUAACCCUUUAAUCUGCCUUGGAUUCUAGAGUGAAUCUAUUGUUGAAAUAUACAAGCAAAUACUGGUAGUUGUGCUUUAAAGGCACAAUUGCUACAGCUGAUUCAUUUGACAAAGUUUGCUGUUUCCCUUCAUUUAUUUGAAACUGACAUCUUCAAAUUGAUUGAGCCUAGCUGAACUUUGUGGAUAAAUCUAGUAGAAUUGGCUUGGGUACCACAUUCCCUUGCAGCUGUAGUAUCAGGAUUAGUCAGCUGCUUAUGGGAAAGAAUGCGGAAUCCUUCUUGUGCUCAAGUUAAUGUUAUAGAAAUGACAACUUUGACAGAGAGUCAAAAUAUUGACUGUGAAACAGGAAGAAAUCUGGAUCGGCCAUGUUCGAAGAAACCUAAUUUAAAGAAUCAGAUAUUUGGAUCAUCGUUGAAAGAUUUAAGAGAAAGAAAUGACAAAUAUAAAAGUGCAGUACCUUAUGUUUUGUAUCGACUUUGUACUUUCAUAGAAAUGAA